UGGCGCCCAACGUGGGGCUCCUGGCAUGGGGGAGUUAACGAGGGAGCCAUUCGAGAGUGCCAGCGAGAAGUAGAAACAAAUUGAAUCGAAGCUAAGAGUGAAAACAAACUGAAUCAAGAACUGAAGCUAGAGUGAAAGCACAUUGAAUCAAGGACCGAGGCCUGCACGGAUGAUCACCCGGCAUGCUGCCUGAGUCACAGUGAGUGAACAGCAACUCCAUUCCCUUUCCCAGACAUGGGUCAAGCAUUGAGCGAACAUGAAUUGUUUGUGGGAGGCCUCAGCAAGGCAUUAAAGACAAGAGGGUUAAGGGUUAGAACAAAAGAAUUGUUGCAGUAUUUUCAAUUUAUUCAUAAGGUUUGCCCUU
rfam:Cavia porcellus supercont2_39 genomic scaffold, whole genome shotgun sequence.